rnacentral:lncRNA from 1 species
ACGGCUGCUAAUUCUAGGGCGGUAACUUCGGAAGAAGAUCAUUUACUGGCCCUGGUCACAGGCACCUCAGACCGUUUCUCCAGGCUGGGACAACAGGAACACUCUCUCAGGGGAAACUUCACCGGUACAUGCUCCUUUAAAGGCCUUGGAGGAGCUGACCGCCAGACUGACCUGCCCCACCCUCCCCUCCAGUUUACUGAGGAGGGCCCCCCAGCCGGGGCCAGGCCUUGGAGAACCCACUUAAAUGAGGUCAGAAUAUCUGGAGGAAGAAUCUCCGGAGGAGAAGCAGUCGACGCCCCGGAACACCACAGAGAGCAACACGGCUGCUCCCGAGUAGCGGCAAAGAACACUGCGCUGCUCAGAGCAGGGGGUGGGGUGGGGGCAGGAAGAGGGCCCUUACCACCCUGGCAGAAGGCCUGCCUCCCUGACGAAGGACACUGUCUUCAGGGCGUUUCUAACCUAACUGUACCGUCUUCAGAUGCCGCAUACUCAUUGGCGCACUUGAAGAGAACGCGAAGUGCGCGCUCUGCGCGCGCUUUGUGCGCACCUUUCCAAACCCUUCAAGAAACCGCUGGCUGGUGCGUGGUGAGCGGGGCGCACAGACCGUGAGCCGCCGCCACAUCCAUCCGGGCGCUCCCUGGGCUCAGCAGGGCGCCCCCAGCGCCUUAGGGUGGGAAGGAACGAACUUCAAUUAAAACUUAAAAGCUUGAGGCACUAACCCUGCGUCAUUCCCUCUCUAAUCCACCUGGAAUCCCUGUAACGCUAAGUCAAACUGAUUUGCUGUCUACUCAUCCACCAACUGAUCCAUAAAGGCGUACCAGAAAACCUCGAAGGAGAUUUUAAAUGUCUUCCAAGGAGGUCCACUCUUACAUAGGCGCGGGGCUCCUAGACAUAUCUUAAACGCCGUAAACAAUUUUUAGUAAGUGUGGAAACUCCUUGGGGUUGUGUUUCCUGGUAAAUAUCGAGAUGAAGAUUCACGCAUCUCUUCUUUCAGAAUGUCAGGCACCAUUUUCUGAAAGACCGGUUUGCUUUCAUCCGUGCGUAAUGGUCAAACCAGCCCUUUCGGUUCCCUUGUCUACAAGUCAGGCCCAGACUGCAGCCCAGUUUCAAGAUCGUAAGCUCUGGCUUACAGAUUUAUAAAGACGUUUAUUAAAUCUCAAGAAAUAUAUUUGCGGUGGCUAUCACAUAAAGCUGAUGUACUCUGGUGCAAAAGAAAGCUACAGAGGCGAUUUGUUUGUGCGUAAAAGGCACCAGAUUUAACUGGAGAGAGACGUGGUAUUUUCAACCCGAGGACACAGGGUGGCAUAGCGCCCUGAAGCAUUAUUCGAGCUUCAUCUACUAUGCACUAUAUGCCACCGUCUCCAAAGGAGUGUUGCCCUAGAAACUUGUUUUAAUCUGCUGCUAUAUAUCAACACCUUGUUUUAGCAGUCCUUGGCUGAAUUACAGUUACACAGUUUGGCGCUUCUUUCAAAUUUCCUCCCAUCAGUUUGGCUAAAGAAAGGAAUUUUUCUCCUUUAGAAAUGAAUUGGCUUAAUUAGUAAGUAGAUUAAUGGCAAUUGCUGGUGAGUUGGUUUCCAGCAGAGUUUCACCAGAGAGGGUUAAUCGGAGUCAGGUCUGGAAGCUUUCCCAGAACUGGCUGCCAGCCAUUUCCACCAACCAAUCAACCCUACAAGAAGCGGAGGAAGUGAAAUAGAAUUUAUAUUCUCUGGGCUGUUAUCCUGGACGGAAAUUCCUUGGAAGCAGCCUCCUGGUUGAGUGUAGGAUGGACUAUUUCACUUUAGAAUUUUCAGAGAAACCUCGAAAGGUUUCACCUUUAAGAUUUAUCUGGGUACCAAAGAGGAAUUUCACAUGGCACAAUGAGUGACUACAAAACACUGAGGGCACAUUGAAAAUGCUUGUGAAGCUGUCAGUCAAUUUCAGGUUUUACAGAAGUUGUGCAAACCUCCCAAGUUCCACCCUAAAUCUUAUCUACCAGAAACUUUUUACAAACUUCAGUUGUGUGUUCUGCAGCCUUUUCACUUAUUUUUUCCACAGUGAUAAAAAUGCAUUCAUAGUUUAACUUGCAGCUGCAUUACUCUUGCAAAAAAAAAAAAAAUCCCUGCUGAGAAAUGCAUAUAAUAGGAAAAACAGAUCGGCUGGACAGCAGUGUAAUUAAUGCCAGAAAGGGCUGAGGCCGGUUUCAUAGUUUGUCUUUUGAGGAUAUUAAGACGAGACCUGGUGAAAAAUGACGCAUGCUUUAGCAUUUCAGAAAGCUGGCAACUGGCAGCGCUUUUCCUUUUUUCUUUGACUUUCUGCCUCAGAACAAAGAGGUCGGCAGAACUAGCUAGGUUGUAAUGAGUUCUAUGUCCCUAGCACAUUAAGUGCAUCAUGGAAACAUAUUGUAUCGAAAUAGUUUGGAGGAGAAUACCGGGGAUGAAAGAGAAUGGGUGCUUUGAUCAGCUCCCUGGGGUCCUGAGCGCGCACAGACUGACUUGCAAGGCGUUAUUCAGCUCCAGCUAGACACACUUACAACACCAUUCAAAGAAAUUUGCAUAUCUGUAAUUUAUCACAUUGGUCCAGAACAUUUUUGCAAGGUAAAUAAAAGUUGGCUGAAUAAAAAAAAUCAAUCAUCGCAUAUAUAGUGGAAACUGUGAAGCCUGUCUCCAUUAAAAGCAUAAAUAAAUAUGUCCAUGAAACAUGAUGAUUUAGAGGCUGAUUUUAUUAUAAAAUGUCCUUAGAGCAACAGGUUAUGUGCUGACAGAGUGGCCGCCAUUUCUUUGUGCUUCUACUUUAGGGGAGUGUAUGUGCAGCUUCUACUGGAAUAAAGGCAGAAAGUUGAAUAGAUGUGUGGCUAUAACCAGCNNNNNNNNNNNNNNNNNNNNNNNNNNNNNNNNNNNNNNNNNNNNNNNNNNNNNNNNNNNNNNNNNNNNNNNNNNNNNNNNNNNNNNNNNNNNNNNNNNNAGCAACAUUAGUACACACUUGGAGGAGAUAUGAAAGAUGGUUCAAUCUCCUUGGUGUCUGCAAAUUCUGAGGUUAAAUUUCAUUUCUUCUCCUGUUGAUUUCGUUGCCAAGCCCUGGUUGCUGAAUUUAGAAGCUCAAAGGGAUGAAAUAUCCCGACAUCCGGUCAAUAGGAAAACUUGCUUUGGAAUGCCCCAUGAGAACAAGUGAAAAUUUAACAGGCAGGCAUUGUUCUGAGUUUUUAAACAACCCAGUUAAACAGCAAACAAGAAUCUUCAACUUGACCUUGAAAAAGGCUGUGGGCCUGCAGAU